rnacentral:lncRNA from 1 species
GUGAAGAUAUUUGUGCCCAUAAAAAAUGCCAUGUGUUUUUGAAGUGUUAGAAAAAGCAGCUCUUUGGCACUAAACAAAGCUGAGGCAGGAACGCAGGAGAGCAGCUGCAGAAUGACAGAAAAAAUAGUUUGCUCUUAUUGCCGGCUGGAGUGCAAUGGCACGAUCUUGCUUCACCACAACUUCCGCCCCCCUGGUUCAAGCGAUUCUCCUGCCUCAGCUUCCCGAGUAGCUGGGAUUACAGGUGAGACUGAUUUCCUAAAUGGAGGUCUUGAUGCACUGCCCAAGAGCCAACAGUGGAAAUUGCAAGGCUUCUUAAGGCCCAUGCUUGUAAGUUGCAUUACAUCACUGUUAGCAAAUUUCAAGUCAAGAGCAAGUCUGAAGAGCAGCCCAGAUUCAAGAGCUGAGAAAAUAGACGUCAUGUCUUGAUGGAGAAAGUAAAAAAGUCACAAUGCAAAAGAGCCUGAAUACUAUGAUGAAAGAAAUUUGUGGUCAUAUUUUGUAAUCCACCACACCAGCCUUUUGGUUUUCCAGAUGCAUGUCAAACACAGCUCAAUGAGUCCCUGUAACUGCAGAAGACUUAUAUGGAGCUCUCUGAGUGAUUUUAUGGAAUAACCUCCCUCAUACUGGGCUUGAGGGGAGGCAAGAUGAAGGGUAGAAGGGCACACAGAACUGCUCAUUCCAAAGAAAUCCUCUCCAAACACCCUCCUCAUUUCUAAUGUCCCCAUCCUUUCACACCAUCAUCAUGGGUAAGGUGUUUAAGAGUUAGGUAAUACAAUUGCAGAUGACUCU